rnacentral:misc_RNA from 1 species
GAUGAAGAACGUAGCGAAAUGCGAUAAGUAAUGUGAAUUGCAGAAUUCAGUGAAUCAUCGAAUCUUUGAACGCACAUUGCGCCCGCCAGUAUUCUGGCGGGCAUGCCUGUUCGAACGUCAUUACAACCCUCAGGCCCCCGGGCCUGGCGUUGGGGAUCGGCGGAAGCCCCCUGCGGGCACAACGCCGUCCCCCAAAUACAGUGGCGGUCCCGCCGCAGCUUCCAUUGCGUAGUAGCUAACACCUCGCAACUGGAGAGCGGCGCGGCCACGCCGUAAAACACCCAACUUCUGAAUGUUGACCUCGAAUCAGGUAGGAAUACCCGCUGAACUUAAGCAUAUCAAUAAGCGGAGGA